rnacentral:rRNA from 1 species
UACGAAGGGUGCAAGCGUUACUCGGAAUUACUGGGCGUAAAGCGUGCGUAGGUGGUUUGUUAAGUCUGAUGUGAAAGCCCUGGGCUCAACCUGGGAAUUGCAUUGGAUACUGGCAGGCUAGAGUGCGGUAGAGGAUGGCGGAAUUCCCGGUGUAGCAGUGAAAUGCGUAGAGAUCGGGAGGAACACCAGCGGCGAAGGCGGCGCUCUGGGCCGGUACUGACGCUGAGGAGCGAAAGCGUGGGGAUCAAACAGG